AGUCGAGCGGUAACAGAUCCAGCUUGCUGGAUGCUGACGAGCGGCGGACGGGUGAGUAAUGCAUAGGAAUCUGCCCGAUAGUGGGGGAUAACCUGGGGAAACCCAGGCUAAUACCGCAUACGUCCUACGGGAGAAAGGGGGCUUCGGCUCCCGCUAUCGGAUGAGCCUAUGUCGGAUUAGCUAGUUGGUGAGGUAAAGGCUCACCAAGGCAACGAUCCGUAGCUGGUCUGAGAGGAUGAUCAGCCACAUCGGGACUGAGACACGGCCCGAACUCCUACGGGAGGCAGCAGUGGGGAAUAUUGGACAAUGGGGGCAACCCUGAUCCAGCCAUGCCGCGUGUGUGAAGAAGGCCCUCGGGUUGUAAAGCACUUUCAGCGAGGAAGAACGCCUAGCGGUUAAUACCCGCUAGGAAAGACAUCACUCGCAGAAGAAGCACCGGCUAACUCCGUGCCAGCAGCCGCGGUAAUACGGAGGGUGCAAGCGUUAAUCGGAAUUACUGGGCGUAAAGCGCGCGUAGGUGGCUUGAUAAGCCGGUUGUGAAAGCCCCGGGCUCAACCUGGGAACGGCAUCCGGAACUGUCAAGCUAGAGUGCAGGAGAGGAAGGUAGAAUUCCCGGUGUAGCGGUGAAAUGCGUAGAGAUCGGGAGGAAUACCAGUGGCGAAGCGGCCUUCUGGACUGACACUGACACUGAGGUGCGAAAGCGUGGGUAGCAGACAGGAUUAGAUACCCUGGUAGUCCACGCCGUAACGAUGUCGACUAGCCAUUUGG
rnacentral:rRNA from 1 species